rfam:Sistotremastrum suecicum HHB10207 ss-3 unplaced genomic scaffold SISSTscaffold_76, whole genome shotgun sequence.
CCCUCGGUAGCUCAGUUGGAAGAGCGUGGGACUGUAAUGGUUACAUGUCAUCCCGAGGCCACUGGUUCGAUCCCGGUCUGAGGGA